rnacentral:rRNA from 1 species
UACGUAGGGGGCUAGCGUUGUUCGGAUUCAUUGGGCGUAAAGGGUGCGUAGGUGGCGCUGUAAGUCGGGUGUGAAAUUUCGGAGCUUAACUCCGAAACUGCAUUCGAUACUGCGGUGCUUGAGGACUGGAGAGGAGACUGGAAUUCAUGGUGUAGCAGUGAAAUGCGUAGAGAUCAUGAGGAAGACCAGUGGCGAAGGCGGGUCACUGGCUCGAUACUGACGCUGAGGUGCGAAAGCCAGGGGAGCAAACGGG